UACGUAGGGGCCGAGCGUUGUCCGGAGUUACUGGGCGUAAAGCGCGCGCAGGCGGCUCGUCAAGCCUGACGUGAAAGCCCCCGGCUCAACCGGGGAGGGUCGUCGGGGACUGGCGGGCUUGAGGUCGGCAGGGGUUGGUGGAAUUCCCGGUGUAGUGGUGAAAUGCGUAGAGAUCGGGAGGAACACCCGUGGCGAAGGCGGCCAACUGGGCCGGACCUGACGCUGAGGCGCGAAGGCGUGGGGAGCGAACGGGAUUAGAAACCCUAGUAGUCC
rnacentral:rRNA from 1 species